rnacentral:rRNA from 1 species
GAUGAACGCUGGCGGCGUGCCUAAUACAUGCAAGUCGAGCGAACAGACGAGGAGCUUGCUCCUCUGACGUUAGCGGCGGACGGGUGAGUAACACGUGGAUAACCUACCUAUAAGACUGGGAUAACUUCGGGAAACCGGAGCUACUACCGGAUAAUAUAUUGAACCGCAUGGUUCAAUAGUGAAAGACGGUUUUGCUGUCACUUAUAGAUGGAUCCGCGCCGCAUUAGCUAGUUGGUAAGGUAACGGCUUACCAAGGCGACGAUGCGUAGCCGACCUGAGCGGGUGAACGGCCACACUGGAACUGAGACACGGUCCAGACUCCUACGGGAGGAAGCAGUAGGGAAUCUUACGCAAUGGGCGAAAGCUUGACGGAGCAACGCCGCGUGAGUGAUGAAGGUCUUCGGAUCGUAAAACUCUGUUAUUAGGGAAGAACAAAUGUGUAAGUAACUAUGCACGUCUUGACGGUACCUAAUCAGAAAGCCACGGCUAACUACGUG